rnacentral:lncRNA from 1 species
CUCUGCCCUGGACCCUGCACGUCACAAACAUACCCAAAAAGGCAUUUAUUAAAUAACGCAUGGGGAACUCUGUCGCUUGGAAUCCAGUGCACGUUACAGAUGACAGAAUGAGUCCAAGUUGAGAUCAUGAUAAAACAAGAAAAUACAAAAGUGGAACUCAAAAACAGUAAAAAAAAAAAACCUCAAAAGAAAAAAAACCUUCAAAGAGGCUAUCUGCUUAAAUAUUUAAAAACUGAAACGAUGAAAGUGUUUAUGAACCACAUGAAAUUUGCAAACAGCACAUUACAAAUUCUUUGCUUACUGAAUAUUUAAUUACUGAUGAAAAUAAGUAAGAAAAUUAUGUUGGUAUAUUUUGUCAGGACCGUGGUCAACAAAAUUGUUUAUAAAUAGCUUUGUCCCUUUCCAUUAGGGUCAUUGUCUAUCUUUUCUUAUUUUUAACUUUAUAUCUGCUGUUAAAUAUUUAAUUCAUCCUAGGAAACAUCGUCACUAAAUUUGUUAUAUUCUGAGUUUCUUAUUCUUUCUUCUUAGUUUCAUUUUCUUCUGUUACCUGCGUUUCCUCUAUGUCUGGUAAGUUGAAAUACAAUACAGAACUUAAGGGGAGUCACUCCAAACAAAACUGCAUUUUCAUUUUUGGCAUAUUUCCUCUUAUCCACAUUAGUCACAAGAAAGAAGUCAGCUUUUGGGAGCGAUUAUAUCUGGGCCCUUUUGUUUCACAAUUUAAUGUGAAAUGUCUCAGGCCUUGCAGCGUUUUUCCUUUCUUCAGAACUUUCACAUCAGUAUUUUGUAAUAAUGAUACUGUAUCUUCUCUUUCCAUGCUGUUCUACAGUUUCCAAAACACUUUUCUCCUUUGUAAUCCUAAUGAAGCCCCACAACAGCCUUGGGUAGUGGCACUCACAUUUCUAUUAGAAAAAACCAUGUUUUCAACACCAUCGAAGUGACAGAUGUGACAACUAGUGGUGUACUGGUAAAUGUUUAAUGACUGCCUCUUGGAGGGUAUGGAGAGCCCUGCUUUAGUCCCCAAUCUCCUUGAAGUAAAUACUCCCACCAUAGCCAAUUUCAAGCUACCAACGUGGUGUCAACUGCUCCUAAAACUUCUGAAAACUUAACAAAUGGCUCUUGCAAACAAGGAGAAGUCAGCUCCAGCACACCACCCUGUCACUUUGAAUUCAACGUGAAAGCAUAUGAAAAUUUACGUGUGUGCCUUGUUUUGAGACUGGGAUAUCAAAACAAAACACUUGGAUGUGCCAAUUUAGUUGGCAGAUUAAACCAACAAUGAAGCCAUGAAGCGGUAACUUAUGUGGUCUUAAUUACAAAUGCUUUGGAAGGUCCCAGAGGGUGGUGAGCGUGGUGGCUGGGUUCUAAACUGGCCCUCAAUCAUCCCUAAUUCCCGGAGUCAUGCCCUUGUGAAAUCCACUCCCCUUCGGCGUGAGCGGAACCUUUGACUUUCUCCUAACCGUCUUAACCAAUAGAAUACGUCAAAGGUGCAAAGGUGAUGGAUGCCACUGCCAUGAUUAUAUUAGAUUGUAAUUUCUGACUUACCAGCAGACUCUCUGUUUCUGCCUUUGAUGAAGCGAGCUGUUAAUGUUGUGAGCUGACCUAUGGAGAGGCCCACAUGGCAAGGAACUGAGGCCCUCAGUCCAACAGCUUGUAAGGAAGUGAAUUCUGCCAACAACCAUGUGAGCUUGGACGUACAUCUUUUCCUGGUGGAACCUUGAGAUGAGACUGCAGCAUGGACCAACACCUUGUCUGCAGCCUUGUGAGAGACCCUGAAGCAGAGGACCCAGCUAAACCAUGUGCAAACUCCCAACCGACACAAGUAAUGGAUAAUACGUGUGUUGUUUUAAGCCACUAGGUUUGUGUAAUUUGUUAUGCAGCAAGAGAUAAUGAACACAGUCAGCGUGUGCAGGAGUGUUGUCCUGGAGAAUGUUAUGUGGAAUUGUAACUAGCAUCGGAAACUGAGUAAGAUUUUGACAGCACAGGGAAUGGUGUGUGGGGGGGGAGGGGGCACUUUAAUGGAAUGUUGGGAGAUAAAGUCAGUUUGAAAGAGCACAUCUAUUAGGAGGGUGCUUAAAAAUUCACUUAUUCGACUAAUACUGAUUAAAUACCAACCUUAUGCCAAAUACUUCCUUUGGGCAAUGCUAUACAGUAUUAUAUAGCAAGCUUUUACGUAGCUUAAAAUGUAAUUGAGGGUGAGAGGGAGCUGACAACCAACAAACUAGUAAAUACAAGAGAACAAUAAGAUCACACAGAGAAUUAAAGCAGAACGGUGUGUCAGGGAGUGACUAGCUGGCUACUGUAGAUUAAGUGGUAAGGAAAGGCAUGACAGGCCCCACAUCCAUUCUCUCCCUCCUUCCUUUCAGUAGUAGAAUACUCCAAGCUCUCACCAGCCAACUAGCUACCCAGGCAGCAACUAUAUUUCCCAGCCUCCCUUGCAGCUGGGUGUGAACAUAUGACUAAGCGAGCAGAAAUGAUGUUACAAUUUCCAGACCUUGUUUUCAUAAGGAAAUUGGGUUUUUUCCUCCACUUUCUCUUCCUCCUCUUUUUCCAGGCUGGAAUGUAGACAGUUGUAGGCCAGCUUCAAUCAUGUGAAUUAACGUUUCACCCUAUUUACCAGAGGGUCUAGAAAAAGCUAGAAGGAACCUGGGUCCCUGAAUGAUCUCAUGGAGCUGAGCUGCCCAUUUGCCUGUUACCAGCUGCCUCCAUCUAGUCAUUAUGUGAGAGAGAAAUAAACUUUAAUCUCUUUUGAGUUACUAUAUUUGGGGAUCUCUGUUAUAGUAGCUUAGCCUGUGCGCUACAUUACAGGGGACCUCUCAGAAGAAGUGACAUUUAAGCUAAGACCUAAGUGACAAGGAUGAACAAGGCAUACAAAGAGGAGGAGAAAGAGCACUUCAGACAAGUGAAAAGGACCUAAAAGGAGAAAGGUCAAUACAGCUGGGGCACAGGGUGUGAAUGGUGGAGAUGAGCUGGAGGAGAAUUAGUCUUGGACCAGAUCAUGGAGGGGUUUGAAACCUAAGGUAACGAAUUUUGAUUUUAAGUGUCAUGGGAAACCACUGGAGAAUUUUAAAAUAUUAAAAUAAGAGAAGUGUCAUAAUUGGAUUUAUGUUUAAAAAAAUCACCCUGGCUGCUCUGUAGUAAGUUAUCUAAGAGGGACAAAGUAUAGGCAGAAAGACUGGCUAGAAAGCUACUGCAGGAGUCCAAGGAGAACCAAUUUGAGCGCUCUGAAUUAGGGUCGUGGGAGCAGUGAAGACAGAAGAUAACACAUUCUUGAAAUGUUCUAGAAGUAUCAUCAACAAGGCAAAUGAUAGACUGGACUGGUAGGGGGAGCGCAGGAAAGAGUAGAAUCAAGAAUGACUGGGGGCUUGAGUAAGUGCUAUUUAAUGAGAUGGUUGCUGGAGUGGAUGGGCUGAAGGGUAGGCCAUAGGGAAGCAAGAACAGAGGCAGAGAGGUCAGCCAGGGAAUUGAGUUGGGG